rnacentral:rRNA from 1 species
CAACCUGCCGUCUACUCUUGGACAGCCUUCUGAAAAGGAAGAUUAAUACAAGAUGGCAUCAUGAGUCCGCAUGUUCACAUGAUUAAAGGUAUUCCGGUAGACGAUGGGGAUGCGUUCCAUUAGAUAGUAGGCGGGGUAACGGCCCACCUAGUCUUCGAUGGAUAGGGGUUCUGAGAGGAAGGUCCCCCACAUUGGAACUGAGACACGGUCCAAACUCCUACGGGAGGCAGCAG